rnacentral:rRNA from 1 species
GAUGAACGCUGGCGGCGUGCCUAAUACAUGCGAGUCGAGCGAACAGACGAGGAGCUUGCUCCUCUGACGUUAGCGGCGGACGGGUGAGUAACACGUGGAUAACCUACCUAUAAGACUGGGAUAACUUCGGGAAACCGGAGCUAAUACCGGAUAAUAUAUUGAACAGCAUGGUUACAUAGUGAAAGACGGUUUUGCUGUCACUUAUAGAUGGAUCCGCGCCGCAUUAGCUAGUUGGUAAGGUAACGGCUUACCAAGGCAACGAUGCGUAGCCGACCUGAGAGGGUGAUCGGCCAGACUGGAACUGAGACACGGUCCAGACUCUUACGGGAGGCAGCAGUAGGAGAUCUUCCGCAAUGGGCGAAAGCUUGACGGAGCAACGCCGCGUGAGUGAUGAAGGUCUUCGGAUCGUAAAACUCUGUUAUUAGGGAAGAACAAAUGUGUAAGUAACUAUGCACGUCUUGACGGUACCUAAUCAGAAAGCCACGGCUAACUACGUG